rnacentral:rRNA from 1 species
UAAUACGUAGGGUGCAAGCGUUGUCCGGAAUUAUUGGGCGUAAAGAGCUCGUAGGCGGUUUGUUGCGUCGGCUGUGAAAUCCCGAGGCUCAACCUCGGGUCUGCAGUCGAUACGAGCAAACUAGAGUGUUGCAGGGGAGACUGGAAUUCCUGGUGUAGCGGUGAAAUGCGCAGAUAUCAGGAGGAACACCGGUGGCGAAGGCGGGAUCCUGGGCCAGUACUGACGCUGAGGAGCGAAAGCGUGGGGAGCAAACAGGAUUAGAUACCCUGGUAGUCCACGCCGUAAACGAUGGGCGCUAGGUGUGGGAGGUCAUCGACUCCUUCCGUGCCGCAGCUAACGCAUUAAGCGCCCCGCCUGGGGAGUACGGCCGCAAGGCUA